AUUAUCUUGGCAGAAUAGUGCGGUGGAUUUAGAAUCUAUUUAUGGGAUGUUUAGUUUUCAGAUAAUA
rnacentral:tRNA from 1 species